ACAAAAACUUGUUCCUUUCUUCUUUUUCUCUCAGAUCUCACACAACCAAAGGAUAACAAAAAACAACAACAAAAAGUUCAAAUCUUUUCCAUCAUCAACCUUGUUCAUGAACUCAAAAACAAGGACAAGAAAACAAGUUAGAAAAACAAAACUUU